GAGUUUGAUCUUGGCUCAGAUUGAACGCUGGCGGCAUGCCUUACACAUGCAAGUCGAACGGUAACAGGUUAAGCUGACGAGUGGCGAACGGGUGAGUAAUGUAUCGGAACGUGCCCAGUCGUGGGGGAUAACUGCUCGAAAGAGCAGCUAAUACCGCAUACGACCUGAGGGUGAAAGCGGGGGACCGUAAGGCCUCGCGCGAUUGGAGCGGCCGAUAUCAGAUUAGGUAGUUGGUGGGGUAAAGGCCCACCAAGCCGACGAUCUGUAGCUGGUCUGAGAGGACGACCAGCCACACUGGGACUGAGACACGGCCCAGACUCCUACGGGAGGCAGCAGUGGGGAAUUUUGGACAAUGGGGGCAACCCUGAUCCAGCCAUGCCGCGUGAGUGAAGAAGGCCUUCGGUUGUAAG
rnacentral:rRNA from 1 species